CAAACUAGUACUUAUAUCAUAUCCAAGGCACAGCCAGGUCAUUAUAGAUGCUAAUCACAGGUUCAGAAGGAAAGUUAUGCGCAUGCUACCCCGCAACAAAUGUCAAAGGAGUCACCACCCCGGCCGUAACGAUCACUGACGUCGCAAUCACUACUGCCCAUCGACAUGCUCGCACCCAACCAUUCUUAUGCUGAAACCAUUUAUUCCUUCUCUUCGAUGGGACGCAUAAUUCGGACUCUGAAACUGUUCCUAUGGCUGGCCAGGCAGGCGGCGCGGGGGAAUCGGAUCCACUCGACGAUGCGUGACAGGUUGAUGUUGCGUUCGGCAGUGUUGGGACAAUCACGACAACGGAGAACGAAUCCGUAGACGCAUCAAAGCUAUCGUAUGUAUUGAGAGCCGAGGAACAGAACCAACCGCCAAUAACCCAAGCCGGCGGUGCCAAAAAUCCCAUAACAAAGAAGAUCAAGGCCUGGUCGAUUCGUCCGAAAAUCGUUUGCCUUUCGGUUCUUCUUGAUUGGGCCCGUUCCAUAUCACCGUCAAGGCUUGCAAUGGGCGCCUCCGGGAUAUUCGGGACUGCUGGGGCAUCUCUGACCUCUGAAACAACAUUAUUGACGUGCACGGAGUUCUGUGUAACUGGAAGGGCCGCGUAGAAGUAUUCGCCGAGCGUUGCUUCCGAAGACGUUGACGACUGGGCCCUUGGCUUAUCAGGCUCGACAGGAGUGGCGACAACUGUAGCAGUGGUUGAGAUCAUCAACUCGAAGAUUGGUGCUGCAAAGUCUCGGGGCUCUGCGUGUGCGAUAUGCUUGCCAAGUUGGUGUCCUUCCAUUUGUGCUUGGAGUGCCUGGGAGUUUGUUUUUGUCGCGAGUGGCGAAGUCGUCUUAAAUUGUAUAAUGGAUACUCGGCUGUCUUUUCCAUCAUCGUGUACUUUUGGCGUUUCGUCUACUUUAGUCAAUAGUCAGCGAGCAGAUUCAUACCAUUUCCAGCAUCGCCCACCUGUUUCCUCUUCGUCAUGUUCAUCCUCUCCUUCCACAGCCAUUAGCAAGCUGGCUCCAAGCUGACUGCCGACCAACGCAACCCACAGCUCCUUCUUAUCCUCCUCUGUCAUCCCAUCUUGCCUCUUCGCGCCCUCCAAAAUGUUUUUGGUCUGCUUAAGCGCCGAGCGCCGGAUCGGAUAUACCGUAUGUGCUUUUGAUUUGGGAGUUGAAGUGGUUGGCCGUGAUGGAGUUUUGAACAAGCUAUCGGCUCCGGGCUCCUGUGGGACGAUCUUGGGUGAUGGGGAGAGCGCGAUAUCAAUUGUGUCAGGAAGAGAUAAGUCGAGUGCAUCUACGGAAGCAGUUGAGGUGCUAGUUGGUGAUGUGAAUGGUUGAUAUGGGAAAGAGGAUGGAAAUGGCGAAGGCGUCUGGUCUUUGUUGUUGUUCAACAUGGGGAUGGGAUCCAGUCGUUAUCGAGCUGGAUGAUAGGUCACAGUAUACCAGGUGGAGGAUAUAACUUUCUACUACCGUCUACAACCUCCAAUAAGACUGUGGAUCCAGUUUAUGUAGAGAUGAUGUUGAAGAGAAU
rnacentral:sRNA from 1 species